rnacentral:rRNA from 1 species
AGCUAAUAGAUACCCCGGUAGUCCUGGCCGUAAACGAUGGGUACUAGGUAGGGGGAUUUCAAACGUCUCUCUGCUGGAGUGAAAUAUAUUAAGUACCCGCCUGGGAAGUACAGUCGCAAGGCUGAAACUCAAAGGAAUUGACGGGGGCUCACACAAGCGGUGGAGCAUGUUGUUCAAUUCGAAGCAACGCGCAGAACCUUACCUGGGCUUGACAUGCUCGUAGUAGAAGCCUGAAAGGGUGACGACUCCCUCUGGGAGAGCGAGCACAGGUGUUGCAUGGCUGUCGUCAGCUCGUGUCGUGA